rnacentral:rRNA from 1 species
GGUUAAGCGACUAAGCGUACACGGUGGAUGCCCUGGCAGUCAGAGGCGAUGAAGGACGUGCUAAUCUGCGAUAAGCGUCGGUAAGGUGAUAUGAACCGUUAUAACCGGCGAUUUCCGAAUGGGGAAACCCAGUGUGAUUCGUCACACUAUCAUUAACUGAAUCCAUAGGUUAAUGAGGCGAACCGGGGGAACUGAAACAUCUAAGUACCCCGAGGAAAAGAAAUCAACCGAGAUUCCCCCAGUAGCGGCGAGCGAACGGGGAGCAGCCCAGAGCCUGAAUCAGUGUGUGUGUUAGUGGAAGCGUCUGGAAAGGCGCGCGAUACAGGGUGACAGCCCCGUACACAAAAAUGCACAUGCUGUGAGCUCGAUGAGUAGGGCGGGACACGUGGUAUCCUGUCUGAAUAUGGGGGGACCAUCCUCCAAGGCUAAAUACUCCUGACUGACCGAUAGUGAACCAGUACCGUGAGGGAAAGGCGAAAAGAACCCCGGCGAGGGGAGUGAAAAAGAACCUGAAACCGUGUACGUACAAGCAGUGGGAGCACGCUUAGGCGUGUGACUGCGUACCUUUUGUAUAAUGGGUCAGCGACUUAUAUUCUGUAGCAAGGUUAACCGAAUAGGGGAGCCGAAGGGAAACCGAGUCUUAACUGGGCGUUAAGUUGCAGGGUAUAGACCCGAAACCCGGUGAUCUAGCCAUGGGCAGGUUGAAGGUUGGGUAACACUAACUGGAGGACCGAACCGACUAAUGUUGAAAAAUUAGCGGAUGACUUGUGGCUGGGGGUGAAAGGCCAAUCAAACCGGGAGAUAGCUGGUUCUCCCCGAAAGCUAUUUAGGUAGCGCCUCGUGAAUUCAUCUCCGGGGGUAGAGCACUGUUUCGGCAAGGGGGUCAUCCCGACUUACCAACCCGAUGCAAACUGCGAAUACCGGAGAAUGUUAUCACGGGAGACACACGGCGGGUGCUAACGUCCGUCGUGAAGAGGGAAACAACCCAGACCGCCAGCUAAGGUCCCAAAGUCAUGGUUAAGUGGGAAACGAUGUGGGAAGGCCCAGACAGCCAGGAUGUUGGCUUAGAAGCAGCCAUCAUUUAAAGAAAGCGUAAUAGCUCACUGGUCGAGUCGGCCUGCGCGGAAGAUGUAACGGGGCUAAACCAUGCACCGAAGCUGCGGCAGCGACGCUUAUGCGUUGUUGGGUAAGGGAGCGUUCUGUAAGCCUGUGAAGGUGUACUGUGAGGUAUGCUGGAGGUAUCAGAAGUGCGAAUGCUGACAUAAGUAACGAUAAAGCGGGUGAAAAGCCCGCUCGCCGGAAGACCAAGGGUUCCUGUCCAACGUUAAUCGGGGCAGGGUGAGUCGACCCCUAAGGCGAGGCCGAAAGGCGUAGUCGAUGGGAAACAGGUUAAUAUUCCUGUACUUGGUGUUACUGCGAAGGGGGGACGGAGAAGGCUAUGUUGGCCGGGCGACGGUUGUCCCGGUUUAAGCGUGUAGGCUGGUUUUCCAGGCAAAUCCGGAAAAUCAAGGCUGAGGCGUGAUGACGAGGCACUACGGUGCUGAAGCAACAAAUGCCCUGCUUCCAGGAAAAGCCUCUAAGCAUCAGGUAACAUCAAAUCGUACCCCAAACCGACACAGGUGGUCAGGUAGAGAAUACCAAGGCGCUUGAGAGAACUCGGGUGAAGGAACUAGGCAAAAUGGUGCCGUAACUUCGGGAGAAGGCACGCUGAUAUGUAGGUGAAGUCCCUCGCGGAUGGAGCUGAAAUCAGUCGAAGAUACCAGCUGGCUGCAACUGUUUAUUAAAAACACAGCACUGUGCAAACACGAAAGUGGACGUAUACGGUGUGACGCCUGCCCGGUGCCGGAAGGUUAAUUGAUGGGGUUAGCGCAAGCGAAGCUCUUGAUCGAAGCCCCGGUAAACGGCGGCCGUAACUAUAACGGUCCUAAGGUAGCGAAAUUCCUUGUCGGGUAAGUUCCGACCUGCACGAAUGGCGUAAUGAUGGCCAGGCUGUCUCCACCCGAGACUCAGUGAAAUUGAACUCGCUGUGAAGAUGCAGUGUACCCGCGGCAAGACGGAAAGACCCCGUGAACCUUUACUAUAGCUUGACACUGAACAUUGAGCCUUGAUGUGUAGGAUAGGUGGGAGGCUUUGAAGUGUGGACGCCAGUCUGCAUGGAGCCGACCUUGAAAUACCACCCUUUAAUGUUUGAUGUUCUAACGUGGACCCGUAAUCCGGGUUGCGGACAGUGUCUGGUGGGUAGUUUGACUGGGGCGGUCUCCUCCUAAAGAGUAACGGAGGAGCACGAAGGUUGGCUAAUCCUGGUCGGACAUCAGGAGGUUAGUGCAAUGGCAUAAGCCAGCUUGACUGCGAGCGUGACGGCGCGAGCAGGUGCGAAAGCAGGUCAUAGUGAUCCGGUGGUUCUGAAUGGAAGGGCCAUCGCUCAACGGAUAAAAGGUACUCCGGGGAUAACAGGCUGAUACCGCCCAAGAGUUCAUAUCGACGGCGGUGUUUGGCACCUCGAUGUCGGCUCAUCACAUCCUGGGGCUGAAGUAGGUCCCAAGGGUAUGGCUGUUCGCCAUUUAAAGUGGUACGCGAGCUGGGUUUAGAACGUCGUGAGACAGUUCGGUCCCUA